UACGGAGGGUGCAAGCGUUAUUCGGAAUCACUGGGCGUAAAGGGUGCGUAGGCGGUUUGAUAAGUCUGAUGUGAAAUCCUAUGGCUCAACCAUAGAACUGCAUUGGAAACUGUCAAACUAGAAUACUGAAGGGGCAGAUGGAAUUAGUGGUGUAGGGGUAAAAUCCGUAGAUAUCACUAGGAAUACCGAAAGCGAAAGCG
rnacentral:rRNA from 1 species